rnacentral:rRNA from 1 species
ACAACAGGUGGAGCCUGCGGUUUAAUCGGACUCAACGCCGGGAAACUCACCAGAUAAGACAGCUGAAUGAUAGCCGGGCUGAAGACUCUACUUGACUAGCUGAGAGGAGGUGCAUGGCCGUCGUCAGUUCGUACUGUGAAGCAUCCUGUUAAGUCAGGCAACGAGCGAGACCCACGCCAACAGUUGCCAGCUCGUCCUCCGGGAUGGUGGGGACACUGUUGGGACCGCCUCUGCUAAAGAGGAGGAAGGAAUGGGCAACGGUAGGUCAGCAUGCCCCGAAUUAUCUGGGCUACACGCGGGCUACAAUGGGUGGGACAAUGGGUAUCGACACCGAAAGGUGAAGGCAAUCUCCUAAACCCAUCCGUAGUUCGGAUUGUGGGCUGCAACUCGCCCACAUGAAGCUGGAAUCUGUAGUAAUCGUGUCUCAAAAUGGCACGGUGAAUAUGUCCCUGCUCCUU